AAUUCUAGCAAGUUGAAGAACUAAGUGGAAAAGAUUUUGGAAAGGCCAAGAGUUAGGUGGGGUGACUAAGGAAGCGGACAAGGUACACCCAGACAAGUAGAAGUUACCAUAGAAGAUGUUGCAGCAGGGUUAGCAACUCCACUUGUUCCUGGAGUGCUGCCGAGUCAGAGUAUAUGUGCUAUGAUGUUUCGUUCAAAGUUAGAGACUUUGCAGACAGAGUCGUGGGUAUAGAGUGUCAGCUUUGUAAGCGGCGUCACCAACCGAUAUGUUAUUAUGUAGUAUGUCAUGAGUUUAUGAGAUGAUGGAUUUUGGAUAGCAAGAUUCGGAAAGCGUAGCUAUGUUUUUCAUUUCUUUUUGAUGCAAAAUUCUAAAGAGAUUGAGAAUGUAAUAUGAAUUAGCGGGUUCGCUCGGCUCCGAGCACGGG